UUCCGGGUUACAUAUGAGUAACUGCACAGCAGGCAUCAAACCCGUCCUCAGGGGACAGCAGCCAGGCCAGGAAGUCUGAAUGGGGAAAGCAGGGACAAAACAGGGAAUUAUUCCUCCCUUUCCAACGCUGGAAAUGAAAGCUGGCAGGCUCAUCUGCAGGAACAAGUCCCCGAAGGAAGUUCCCCCAGCGUCAGGACAUGACUCACGAGAACUGAACCUCUGCAUUUCCCAGAGCUUUCCGCAGCCGGACACAGCUGGCAGGCUGACCCAGCUGUCCCAGCAGCCUGCAGAUGUUUUUUUUGUUUUGUUUUUUCCAUGUCCACCCUGGUAUGCGUGAGAAGUUUGGAGCCACACCAGCGGGGCUGUUACCGGUGGCUGCGACCUGGGGCAGCUUUUCAGGCGAAACUCGGCGCCAGACAAAGGAGAGGAGAAGAGGUUUGCCACCGCCAGCCAGCCAGCACCCAGCCCAGGACACAAACCCCGGCUGAAAGCCGAGGCCCGGUGCCACCGAGCAGCGGGGAUAGGAAAAGGAGAAGGAAACGGGGAAACGGCCCCGUUGUCUCUGCCAGCUGCAACGACAGAUGAACACCGGGUAAAACAAGUCCAUGUAACUUCGGUCCCAGCAGAAGUACCAGAACAAGCUGCUUGUGGGCACCGGAGCCUCCACAGGGAAACACCUGCAGCACGAGUCCGUCAGUAACAGGCGGUGGCACUUCAUCACUGCACUUUAUUACUUAUUUCUGGCAGGACAAUACCUGUUAUCAAAUAUGCAGAAGCAUUAAAAGUUAAGUAUUUCACCCUUACUAAUGCUUCAGGUGUUAUUUAAUGUCAUCUUGACAAACAAAGGAACUAUGUGUUACAUGAAAAUGCCAUGACAUACAUUAUACUAAAAGGUGAGGUAAUCACACCCCAGCAAGUUGUUAUUAAUGACUAACUUCCGUAUGCAAGGAAGUGUAUGGGAAUCCACAGAGAUCUAUCAUCUGAUUCUGUGUAAUUUUUUUAUUGUUUCAUUCUGUACAGUGUUUCAUUAAGGUAAUGGAGCAAAAUACCUGUUACAUGUUCCAAUGACUCCACCAUGAUAAGUUGGAGAAAAAAAUCUCUCAGCAUUGAAAAAGGUUCAGAAGGGGUAGCAAAGACAGUCAGACAUCAAUUGGCUUCCAGGUAAUGAUAACUGAGUUAGAACUCUGCUAGCUAGGAAAAAGAAAAAGAAAAGAAAAAAAAAAAAAAAGAAGAAGAAGAAAAAAAAAAAAGCUGUGUCCUGCACCAGUAAGAUCCCAUCUCAGACUAAUGUUGUGGUCAUUCAACUCCAGUCUACUCUAAGAAAUUAUUAGACUAUCAGUUCCUUUAUCAGAUUCAUAUUUCAUAGAUCUUUAAAAGGCAAUUGGGAUGUUAAUUGUGCAGACAAGACUUAUGAACUGAAUACACCCUGAUGAUGAAUGAAAGUUUGUACUUCAUCAAAAUCAGUCUUAGUUUACAGCUAGCAGAUGAAAACAGGGUGGUUGUUUAAAUUCUGAAGACAGCCUUCAAAAAGAGGAAAAAAAUAAAUAAAACAAAUCAAAUGUAAGUUCAGAUUUACUGAUUGCUAACUUGCCAAAUUAUCUUAAAAAAAAAAAAAAAGAUACAGUGACACUGUCUGGUCUUCAAAAAUCUUCUAGCUACCCAGAUGACAGCUUGAACUCCUCUGGCAGGUGAUAGCUGUUGAGGUAUUCUAUCUAAAAGUGAGAAAGUUAAGAUUUUUGAGGGCAUUUAGAUGGAAAGACCUUAAUCGUUGGCAUUUGUUGGCUGCAUUGGUCUAAUAGUCUGAAUAUCAGCCUUCAAGAGUCUUGCAAAGCCCAUCUGGUUCUCAAGCCUUUUUUAUUGGUGACGGAAAGAGUAUUUUUUAGUUUUAAUUAGGAAUGACAGUAUUUGAAUCUGUUGGUUUUAUAACUCUGUAACAUGAAAAAAAUGUUAUUUCCACAUAAUAUGAAUGCUGACACAUUGUAAUUGUUCAUGGUUUGAGAUGAUUUCUUUCUUUAGCUGUGGGUUGUACAAAUAUUUACAUGUUUACUUUAUUUUUGGCUUCUGGGGGGUGUCAUUUUGUAGGUAACUUACUGGGUAUCUCUACUUCAGUGACAGUUGCUUAUUAGAUGUGUUUCAUCUCAGAAAAAAAAUGCUUUGGGGCUUUCUGCAGGGUUAUUUACAUCACGUGCCAGUUUCUUGGCAAUUAACACUGCCAAUUUUCUCAGAACACUUGAGUGAUGAAACUGAUUCAGUGGUGUAGGUACUAACCUGAGGUUGAUUCCUUUCACUUGCAAGACUUCCUGAUUGAAUUCAUCUAUGUUUACAAAAUACAAAGGUAAUGCUGACUUAAAUGAAAGACAGUAAAACUCCAGCACUCAAGAUUGUGAAAGCAGAAGAUACAAGUUGCAGAUCAGAGAUAGGUGAUACAGGCUAUGAAGUAUGUGACAGAGAUUAUGAGAUACUAAAAAAGUGAGUUAAUGAAAAACAAAUACACCUCUGAUGGAAGUGUCCCUGGAUUUAAGACUUUAAGAACUUUGAAAAGAAAAAGAGUAUAGUUCUAUAUUAAAGUAAGAUGUGAAUUAUACACAAUAUUAGCAGUGACUGCAUAAGGAAAGUACAAGUAACAGUAGUGCAAAUCUCUCCAAAAUAUAAUAAUAGGACUAUCUACUGUAGGCACACCAACUCUUAUUUCAGAAUUAAAUAUGAACUAAAUAUGAAGAUUAGACUUAGGAUGUAUUCUCCGAUUAACUCACUUGCAGGCAUUCAUGAUGCAGGAUGCAGAGACUAAAAGCAGUAUCAGUUUUAAUUCUUAAGUGCAACGGGCAUCUCUUGAAAGCCUGAAUGUUUGAAGGAGAAAAGCAAGACAAGGUUAAUUGCUCCAUAUACUGUUGUUUAAUGUUUACUCAAAUGUAAUUAAUAAAUAAAGCUCAGACUGUUAAAAGGA